GGGGAUUUAGCUCAGUGGUAGAGCGCUUGCCUAGCAAGUGAAAGGCCCUGGGUUCGGUCCCCAGCUCUG
rnacentral:tRNA from 1 species